rnacentral:sRNA from 1 species
AUAGUUCACACUAAAGUGAACAUAAACUGUUAAGCAAAACUUUAGAUCACUUCUUCUAACAAAGGAAAUGUACCCGAGAACCCAUGAGAAGUAGCUUCAGAGUACUUUUUUUAACAGUGAAUUCUCUGAGGUCUUGGACUUUUAAAUUUUAUUUAGUUUAAUUGCCAAAAGCCAAGGUGGAGCUGUGUAGCAUUCUGAGGAAAUAAAACCACUUGAAGCAGAGAUCCUGUGGUAUUGUGGAAAUUCCCAGAGGACUUUGGAGACCAGGAAAUACUACAGAGUGUGCCAAAGUUCUGUUUUCCCUUUGACGUUGAAAGGGUGUCUCAGAAUCAAGUUGGACAGCACUUUACCUUUGUACUGACAGACAUUGAAAGUAAACAGAGAUUUGGAUUCUGCAGACUGACGUCAGGAGGCACAAUUUGUUUAUGCAUCCUUAGUUACCUUCCCUGGUUUGAAGUGUAUUACAAGCUUCUAAAUACUCUUGCAGAUUACUUGGCUAAGGAACUG